rnacentral:rRNA from 1 species
UACGUAGGUGGCAAGCGUUGUCCGGAUUUAUUGGGUUUAAAGGGUGCGUAGGCGGCUUUGUAAGUCAGUGGUGAAAUAUGGCAGCUCAACUGUCAAGGUGCCAUUGAUACUGCGGAGCUUGAGUACAGAUGAGGUAGGCGGAAUUUCCGGUGUAGCGGUGAAAUGCGUAGAUAUCGGAAGGAACACCAGUGGCGAAGGCGGCGUUCUGGACUGUAUCUGACACUGAGGAACGAAAGCCAGGGGAGCAAACGGG